GCCGCGUUGGUGUAGUGGUAGCGCGUCUCACUUGUAUUAGACAAGAAAAAUCCAAUGAGAAGGUCACUCGUUCAAUCUGGGUACAUGGCA